GAAAAUCUUUAAUUCAUUCCCCACAUAUGUGCUAACAUUUGAUACAGCUUAGAAUUUAAAAAAACAUAAAAGAAGGCUAUAAAGUAAAAGUUACAAAAAAGGGGGAGGAAAAGGAAAAGGAGACAGAUGAUUUUAUCAGAAACUUGGAAUGAGGCACUUGUCACAACUAAACACUGAAUUUACCCUGGGCUUCCUGACCACAAAUAGUAGUGAUGAAACUAAGCUCCUCAUUUUUAUAUAUUUAUAACCACAUAGACAGCACUUUGUUUAUCUCAUUUAAUCCCCCUGGUUUCACAUAUUUUGAAACCAAGGGAAUCACAUAUGUAAAGAAUUUUCUGAGUUGCAUGGUUAUAAGCCAAAACUGCCUAAACUAAUGUAAUGAAAUUACAUUAUGGACUAAUUGAAGGUCUACGAUUACUUAUCCAAAACUACUGGGAACAGAAUUCAGAAUUAUUCAGGAUUUUAAAAUGUAAUCAAUUAUAUAGAACCUAUGUUAAGUAUCAUAUGUUACAUAUCAUAUUCAGAUAAUCUAGGGUAGUACCCUAUAAUCAGACAGAUUACUAUUUCUAAAAUGAAAUCUAUAAGGGGUUACACUGGCUGGUGUAGGUGAAGUCUAUAAAUAUCUUCACAUAAGUUCACACUAGAUUUGAUUUUGCACCACUGGAAUUUGUCACAAAUUUAUGAAAAAGUUUAAUUUUCAGAGCUUUUUGGAUGUAGGAAUGGUAGAUAAAGAGAUUAUGCUUAUGUGCUCACACACAUACAAACACUUGCACAUACACAACAAAUAACUAUACAUAAGCGGUGCAAGCUUGGCAGUUUUUCUUAAUAUCUGUUUGACCUGCAACAAAUCAUAUGAAUCUGGGCCAUUUUCACACACAUUAAAAAUAGGAGUAAAUGUGGAAUUAACCAAAGAUAAACUGUGACUAAAUGUUGCAAACACUCUUCGAAGCACUCUCCAUGAAUGAGCAUAGCCGGGAGGUUAGCAGACCUGAACGCCUUCACAGCUCUGCUGUUGACAUUCCAUGUGACCCCAGAAAAGUCACUUGGUUUCCCUGGUCCUCAGAUUUCUCUCCUGUAAAAUGAGGCCGUUGGAAGUGAUGGUCUCUAAGGCCCUUUUCAGUUCCACAAGCUGUGCUUAUAAAGUUUUUCAUUUUAUUCAUGUCUAUAGGUUUAAUUUUUAAAAACAAUACCCAAUAAUAAGGUUUCAAAUUAUCUCUUGGUCUAAUGUGCCUGUUUUUACACAGUGUCAAUCAUCCUUGAGUCACUGAAUCACAAGAGUUUUAGGCCAGUCAUUUCCUUCACCGUUUCUAAAUACUGUACCCUGUUUUACACACAAGCAACGUGAACAACGAAGCGUGAUGGUAAAAACAGGACGCUCCGGCUCCCUUCAGCUGGACUUUGCAAACCUCUUUGUGUUAUUUUACACGCCUUGAUGUCCUAAAAAUAAGAACAGAAAGUGCCGCAAGAUUAUUUCUCAACUCUGGAAAUAUUUUUGGAAAAUGUGUAAUACUGAAGUGGAUUAAAGAUAGACACAAAUUUUUGACACUGUUCUCAUCAAAAGGUGCUGAUAACCUUCAGAACAUGGCAGCUGCUUUCCUUCUGCCUCCCAGAACUCACAACUUCCCUUUGGACCAACUCCAAUCUGAAAUUAUGUAGAAAGGGAGAGUCUGAAAAACAUAGUCCCAAACAUAACCAAGUAGACAAUAGAACAAUCUGGCACAUUGAUUGGUAUUUUGACUUAACCGCCAGAUCACCAGCAGCUCAUUGUAGGCAGGCGCAAGUAAAUAUCUCACCUCAAAUGCAACAAGUACAAAAUGAAUGCAUCAUAGUGUCCCAGGCUUCCAUUAAACAAAAACAAAUAAAUAAAACAAACAAAAAGCAAUCUUUUAUCCCUCAGCUUUAUUAAUGCAUAACUAACAAAUAAAAAUGGUAUAUAUAUUUAUGGUGUACAUCAUGACAUUUCUUUCCGUGUAUACAAAAAGCAAUCUUUCUGAGUACUGCUCAGUUACCACUACCUCUAAGUGAUCCUGUGUAUUCCACACCCUAAGUGUCCAUCUGACCUUCCUCACUGCCCUGUGUCCCAGCAGUCUCUGCCUUCUAUCAAGCUUUCCUCUUUGCUUUCCCGCAUUAAUGAAGUGCUCCUCUCUCUUGCCACCCUGCCUCCAAUCUCGCCCUGCUCCAAACCUUCCAUUAAACCACAUGAAUCUUUCUAAAAUGUAAAAUUCUGCUUAUUUUACUUAAAUUAUUUUAGUGACUCCGUAUCACCUAUCAUAUACAUCUUUCUUGGUGUGAUAUGAAAGACCCCUCAUAUAUAUUCUGACCCCCACCUACAUUUUUAGCCCCUCUCCUGUCCUAAUCCCAAAUGCACUGUGCCCCAACUAUUUUAAACUAUUUGUAAAACCCUGAUUAUAGGAUUAUGUCAACACAGGAGUCUGUGUGCCUUCCUCCCCUUGCAAAUACAGUUGCCUGACAAACUCCUUCUCAUCCCAUAGGAUUUGACUCAAACAUGACCUUCUUUGUGGUGUCCUCCUUGUUUCCUCACCUUCUCCCAAUCCCCAAAGUCAGUCCAUAACAUUCUCCUAACAGUGGAUAGCAUGUGCCAUGCUGUACCAGGUCUGCUGAUUUACAUGUCUGUCUUCUGUGCUAGUUGUGAGCUCCUCAAUGUUAAGGACCACAUCUCAUUCAUCUUUGUAGUCCCAGACACUAACACUUCCCAGGUGCAUGGUAGGGGCUCAAUAAACAUUUGGUUAAGAAAUUAAUUGAUGAAUCACAAGAUCUGACAUGUUUAAAUAUUUUAUUCCAUAUUUAUAGCUGCUUCCAUACAAAUUAUGAUUCCCAUAAAACAUAGGUUUACAUUUACCAAAAAAAAAAUUAAUUUGGGGGUAAUCCAAUACAUGUACAUGGCCAAAUAAUGAAAUUCAGUUUAAAUCUUGAAAUGGCCCUAAAUCAUAUGACCUCAUUGAUCAGAUUAAUAAGAUUAUUUCUAAAUCUCAAUUUCACCAGUGAUGUUUAAACAUAUUUUUGACCUGCCAUUGGAAUACAGAACAACAAAGGAAACAUCUGGUUGUUCUUAACUUUGGGGAGACAAAUCCAUUUGUUAACAGUAGCAAUAGGAGAGCUGACAGAACCUGAUAACAGCUCCAACACAGGGAGCUCAGCCCACAACAGAUGGACCAGACACUUCAGGGAAAGCUUUAAAAAGAUGUCUUUUCUAAUUCAGGUUAUACACUCCUUGAAAGUUCCUUCAACAUAAGCAUGAAAGUUUGCAGAUGAUUUUAUCAGGUCUGACAGCUUUUUUCUAGAGGUUAGUUUGCAAUUGCCUCUCGG
rnacentral:lncRNA from 1 species